UUUUAGCCCCGAUUGAAGUGGAAAUCCUCUUUAUUGCUUUGAAGAAAAGCCCUUUCCCGAAACUUCGGGGCGCUCAGGGUGACAAAGCAAUAAAAAGAUUGCAACGGAAAGCGGGAAACAGC
rnacentral:sRNA from 1 species